UCUCUUGUGAUGUAGCGGUGAUCAGAUGAGAUUCCGGAAUCUCAUUACGAAGGUUCGACUCCUUCCAAGAGAU